CUACAGACUUACAUAUGUGAAAAGAAAGAAAGGAGUACCCACCAUUUGCUGUAUAUGAGCAUCUACCAAACAUUGACCUGAUCGCUUCUUCAUGUUUACCAUCUAUAGAUUCAUUCACAGUCGAUGGGUCAGUAAAUUAAAUCCACUGAUUCUUUGACCAGCUUUGUUUUGUGAUAAGGAAAACAAAAACAAAAAUCAGAACAUUAUUUUUUUGUUUGUAUUGGUCAUUAAGUGCAUCAAAUAGCAGCAUGUUCAUCUUUUGAGCUUAGUUAAAUCUAAUGAAUGUUUGUUUUGAUCCGGAAAUGGGGAUAAUCCUGUAAUUCCUUUAUUUAAUGCUGGAUUAAAAACCAUUACCUGUAUCAAAGAACAAGCAGCACGCUUCAUUCUCUCAUAGUUGGCAUUUGUUGUUUGAUUGUUUACACAGAUGCAUCUUUGGAAAUAGAAUAAAACAGAAUCAAGAUCUAAAGGAUCAGACUCUAAGGAAAACAGGCGAUCUAAAUCGACCAAUUAAAUCAACAAGCAGCAGAGAAACUGAUUCCUGAUUCUUUUCAUGUGUUCAUAAAACGAAUCAUUAGUUGUGACGCAUGAAGCAUUGGACGGAGGUUCAGUUGGACUCAUCUCACACUGAGAUUGCUCUUGUUGUCUCACACAGAGAUCAAGCAACAGAUAAAAAACAUGAAACCAAGUGCAUACAAGUCCAUAAGUCUGAAUCUGUCUGAAUAUGAAGGCACACAUUUCUGUUUUAUGUAUGUGCAGAUAAAUAUUCUAUUUCCUACUAUCAACAACUUGAUGAAAGCUCAGGUUAGAGUGCAAUACUGAAUAAUAAGACAAAAUAGUUUAGAUUCUGAGAAACCAGAACAUUUUGGGUUUUAAACACAAGCGUAGUGAUAUUUUCCUCAUCCAGUAACAACCUGCUAUAUAAUCCACCAGUCAUGUUUUAUUAAAAAGCAUGUUGGCACCAGUGUGAACCUGGAGAGCAGACGAAGUGAAUCGUUUUUACAGUUAUCAGCCUCAGACUGUCAGACGAAGAACUUCCUCCACCUCCAUCCACUCCGCCUCCAUCAGCUGUCAGUCUGACAGUCCACAGAAAUCCUGACCUAAGCCUCGUUUUAGAACACUCUGACUUUCGUUUUACCCUGAAAGUAAACACGCCUAGGUUAGUUUGAUGUGGAGAAUCCAGCGGAGCACACUGGGAGUCUGAGCAGAACUGCUUUGCAGACAAACGCCUUCAGUCUCUGGAUGCUGCACAGCUGGUGGAGAAAUACUCGAAAAGCUCUGCAGCUGCAACUGCAGUGAGUUCUACUAACACACUGAAUACUACAAACAAGCCACACCUUUCAGAUUUUCAUUUGCAACAAAAAUGUCAGACUUAUGUAUUCCAUGGUUCCUUCAUCGAUUUCUAUAACUAAAAAGACUUUAUUCAUUAUUAUCUCUCUCUACUGUCAUCUCUUUACUCUUCUGUCCUUCAUGUCCUUUCUUCUUUCUACCCUUCUCUUUAUCCUUUUUGAUCUUCUUUCCCUCCUUUCCCCAAAAUGUAUUUUCUGUACUGACUUAACUCUGCUCUUCCUUCCAUUUGUUCUUUUUUCCUUCCUCCCUCAUUUUUCCUUCUCCAUGUCCGUUUUUAUUACUUUCCUUCUCGUGUCUUUUCUUCUUUCUUUACACAGGUCAUUCCUUCCUUGUGGCCUUCUUUUCUUUCCUUCCUGUCUAGUGUCCUUUCAUCAUUUCAUUCAUUGUUGUCCAACCUGUCUUGUUUUCAUUUAUCCGAUCUUGUCAUUCUUCAAUCUUAAUGUAUUUUUUUUACUAUUUUCUUUCCUUGUUUCUUUCUUUUCUUCUAUUUCGAUUUUUUAAAUGGACACAAGCUAGGAUCCUGGAAAGUUAAGUCCUUUACUUCCCAGUUCUGUUCUACUUCAUGUUUUCAUAUUUCUAUGAUAAUAAUUUUUAAUCUAUAUGUUGCAUCUUCCACCUCAGUCAGGGACUCUUGUGCUUCAAUAAGUUUGCCUUCUGCCGUUAGUGUGGAACCUCUGGAGAUGAUGACGGUGAAAAGAAGGAACAACCCUGAACAUCCUCUUCAUUUCCCUUUAGGAUUAAAAAACAAUGUUGUAUUGAGUCUAAUUGAAUUUCAUAAACUGAAGUGAGAAGACGGCUAACUGACCAGCGGCUGCAGCUGAGUCUGACAGAGUGCUUCACCUUCACUGGCCACUUCCUGUGGAGACGAGCUGGUCAUUACAACCAACACAGAUGUUCCAGAGGUGUCCCUGCACAUGGUGCGAUUGAUCGGAGCCGGUUCUGGGCCCGGGCCCGGUCGGAGCUGGUGACUUCAGCAGCAGCAGCUAGGAGAACCUGAGGAGAGCCUAGCUGCUGUAAAGAGACAGGAGGCUAAAUGGAUAGUUUGUAUUCACACAGCAGGUCUUGACUCCAGCUGCAAGUCCUGGAGAAAAACUAUUUUUCCUU